GUUAAGUCCCGCAACGAGCGCAACCCUCGCCCUUAGUUGCCAUCAUUCAGUUGGGCACUCUAAGGGGACUGCCGGUGAUAAGCCGAGAGGAAGGUGGGGAUGACGUCAAGUCCUCAUGGCCCUUACGGGCUGGGCUACACACGUGCUACAAUGGUGGUGACAGUGGGCAGCGAGACCGCGAGGUCGAGCUAAUCUCCAAAAACCAUCUCAGUUCGGAUUGCACUCUGCAACUCGGGUGCAUGAAGUUGGAAUCGCUAGUAAUCGCAGAUCAGCAUGCUGCGGUGAAUACGUUCCCGGGCCUUGUACACACCGCCCGUCACACCAUGGGAGUUGGUUCUACCCGAAGGCGCUGCGCUAACCGCAAGGAGGCAGGCGACCACGGUAGGGUCAGCGACUGGGGUGAAGUCGUAACAAGGUAGCCGUAGGGGAACCUGCGGCUGGAUCACCUCCUUUCUAAG
rnacentral:rRNA from 1 species